AAUUUGAUGCGGGGCUUGAUCCCAGGACCCUGAGAUCUUGACCUGAGCUGAAAGGCAGACACCUCACUGACGGAGCUACCCAGGCGUCCCAACACUUGCCCUGUCUUUGUCCUGUUCUUCUUUUCCUCUCUUUCCCCACAUCUUCUUACUCGGUUCGAGAGGUCAGCGAAGAUUCACUAAGCAACUGUCGGGAUUACUUCACUGGGCACGUGUCUGUGUUGUGAGGUCACUGUUGGUUUGGAACCAGGAAUGCAGGGGGCAGGGCCUGUGUUCUGGUGGUGACAUGCCCGUGUUCCAGCAGCGUGACACCCGGACCCGGAGCUCGGCUUGCACUGGGAUUUGAAGCCGGGGAGGAAGUGUGCUGCAGGAGGAUUCCAGAGGAGAAGAGCUUCCUAAGCACGAGAACAUUCCCCGUAAGGAGCAGGAUUCUGUUUUUUAUGCCAAAGAGGGAAAGAAGAAAAUGCUGGUGGAACCGUUCAUGCAAAGCGGCUCAGAAGGCGAUGUGUAUAAAGCCCAGACGCCUCACACGGAAACCCAAGGAGCACCGGAAGUCAAAGAGGACAAGGACGUGCAGGUGGAGGUGCCCGUGGACCAGGU
rnacentral:lncRNA from 1 species